rnacentral:rRNA from 1 species
GGGGUUGGGCCUGCCCGGUGAGUAAUUUAAACGGCCGCAGUUAGAAGCUGUGCUAAGGUAGCGUAAUAAAUUGUCUUUUAAUUAAAGAAAGGAAUGAAAGGUUUGACGUAAUAGUGACUGUCUCGUUUGUAAGUAGAGAAGUUUUCUUCUAAGUGAAAAGUCUUAGAUAUAAUUAGAAGACGAGAAGACCCUGUCGAGCUUGGAUAUAUUUAUCAAAGGUUUGGUAGAGUAAGGUUUAGUUGGGGCAACUGGGAAGUAGAAAAGACUUCUUGUUAAGUAUGUGGAUCCAAUAUGAUUGAAGACAGAAAAAGCUACCGCAGGGAUAACAGCGUUAUUUUUUCUGAGAGAUCAAAUUGAAGAAAAGGAUUGCGACCUCGAUGUUGGAUUAGGAUUUCUUGUUGGCGUAGAGGCUAAUGAAGUAGGACUGUUCGUCCUUUAAAAUCCUACGUGAUCUG